ensembl:misc_RNA Y_RNA Y RNA
AGCUGGCCCAAGUGCAGUGCUGUUUACAACUAAAUGAUCACAACCAGUUACAGAUUUCUUUGUUCCUUCUCCAUUUCCACAGAUUCACUUGGCUAGACUUAUU